rnacentral:lncRNA from 1 species
UUUUUUCUUUUUUCUUUUUUUUUUCUUUUUAGGAUUGUACCUGCGGCAUAUGGAGGUUCCCAGGCUAGGGGUCGAAUUGGAGCUGUAUCUGCCAGACUACACCACAGCCACAGCCACGCCAGAUCUGAGCCAUGUCUGUGACCUACACCACAGCUCACAGCAAUGCUGGAUCCUUAAUCCACUGAGUGAGGCCGGGGGUAGAACCCACAUCCUCAUGGAUACUAGUCGGGUUUGUUACUGUUGAGCCACAUUGGGAAUUCACUGGGUAAGCAUUUAAAAUAUAGUAAUAUAAAACACUGCUACAGCCUAUAUCUGUUAGCUCUACGUAUACUUAAAGUUUAAUAUUGCACAUUAUUAUAUAGUAUAAUGUAUAUAUUUGUAUAUUAGGUACAGUUGUAUAAUAUAUGAUAUACAGUAUUAAGAUAUACCUGUAUUAUAAAAAUAAAAUACUAUUAUAUGUAUAUAUUCAUUUAUGUAUAAUGUUUUAUAUUUUAGUAUUUUUUAUUAAAUCUUAAUAUUUACAUGUAUUAAUUUGUGCUAUAUGGCAUAAAAUGCAAUUACAUAUAUAUUUUAAUGUAAUAUUAUAUAUAUGUAUACAUAAGGAUAGCAUAUUAUUUAAACCAAAGUUUAUGUGUAGAACAUAUAUGCACACAUACAUAUACAUAUAUCUAUAGGGAUUGUAUAUUAUUUAAACCAAAAUUUAUAUAUGUACCAUAUACAUAUACACACAUAUAUGUGUAAAUAUUUAUUACAAUUUAAUAAAUGCCAAACCUUCAUUCAAUACAUAUUCAAGGACAAGCAACUUGCAUAAGCCUCUGAAUUUACUAAAAGUUCCUCUUUUCUAAUAAAUUUGUUAAAACUAGUGAGACUUUCUUUUUCCCCAUAAAGACUACAGUUGUGUGGUGACCGUAUUUAUGGCGAUUAGAUGUAUCCUUGCGAAAUCAAACAAAAAUAAAGUAAUUAUGGAGAGCAUUCAAAAGAAGGAACAAAUGAAAGCUUUUACUGGGCUGACUGCUUGGAGCAGCCUUUGAGCUGUUUUGAGAACCCACGUUUUCUGGAAAAUGGCUUUAAUUCUUCACAGGGAUUUGCAAGAGCAGCCGCUGGUUACACACGGACGUGCCAGCUGCAAGUGACGGUGGCAGAAAGCCGUUCAUUAAAUCUCACACCCAGGAUGGAGUCGGGAGAGGGCACCUGUGCAGAUAUCCAUGAGGUGUGUUUUCAGGCGUCAUUCUCCUAGAUGUGCUUUCCUUAUUUUGACCCUUUCAUUGUCCCUGUGUACAGAAAUGUUACUGUACGUACAUAUUUUCUCAUCUUAGAGAAAACUAAAUGUCCCCAAAUAAGUAUUAUCCUUUGUAGAUUCUCACGUCCUUUCACUGGCAUUUCUGAGCUAAACUGAAGUAUCUUCUCAGCUGAGACUAAAAACAAUAGAGCCAUGAGGUCCUACUGUGCAGAACAAGGAAUUAUAUCCAGUUACUUGGGAUAGAUCGUGAUGGAGAUAAUAUAAAAAAAGGGAAUAUGUAUAUAUUACAUACAUAUGUGAGAAUAUAUUAUAUAUAUAUGAGAAUAUAUGCUAUACAUGAAAAUAUAUAUAAGGGAAUCUAUUACAUAUAUAUAUGUAUAUAUAUAUAUGACGGGGUCACUUUGCUGUGUACAGCAUAAACUUUCACAAUAUUGUAAAUCAACUAUCCUUUAACAAAUUUUUAAAAAAAUAGCUCUAGGAGUUCCCGUCGUGGCGCAGUGGUUAAUGAAUCCGACUAGGAACCAUGAGGUUGCGGGUUUGGUCCCUGCCCUUGCUCAGUGGGUUAAGGAUCCAGCGUUGCUGUGAGCUGUGAUGUAGGUUGCAGACGCGGCUCGGAUCCCGCAUUGCUGUGGCCAUGGCGUAGGCUGGCAACUACAGCUCCAACUCGACCCCUAUCCUGGGAACCUCCAUAUGCCAGGGGAGGAGGCCAAGAAAUGGCAAAAAGACAAAAAAAAAAAAAAAGGCUCUAAAUAACAAUGUUUAGAAAGACUUUGUCUCCAUUAAUAAUGCUGCUAUCACCACCUGCUUUAGCUAUUUUUUAGUCCAUUUGUGUAUUUUACUGAUAUCUUCAAUGGCGCUUUCUUCCACAUUUUCAACAAGUUUUUCCAGUGAGAUAAACUUCUGGGUUUGACCUCAUGCCUGGGAACUAGGACAGCUGUGUGUGAACUGGGGAGAAAAUGGACCCGCUUGAAAUAUGGACCGAAUAGUCUAGAUAAUAAGGUCUAUCUUUCACUCUUAGCUCUAUUGACCCCAGAUAUUAUUCAGGUCUCAUCGGGCUCAAGAAAAAUGGCAAGAAACCUUUCUUCAUAAAUUCAGCUGAUGGGGAUGAUGCGAGAUCUAAAACCGAGUUCAACAUCUUCCUCAUUGAGGGCUGUGUCACCCGCUCGCUGGCAAAUGUCCCCGGGGUCUGAAAACAAACCCUUGCCAAGCUCAUAGGCUCUCUGAGCUGGAGGAGAAUCAUGGUUGUAAUUUGCACAAGGCUCUCACACGUUCAUAGGAAAUUGUCAUGACAUGCAGACGGACCGGGACAGGGGGGAAGCUAAGUGAGACAUUACAUGAUGAGCAGGGAGAGAAAAGUCAUUUUCAAGGCCAUCAAUGAAUAUGGGCGCUGAGCCACAGAGAGCAGAUUUGAAGUAUGGUGGCGUGGGCAAAAUGGAGUUUUCAUGUAGGUUUACAGAGACAGUAAAAUUGGAAACAUACACAAAUUCAUCAAUUCCACGGAGCCAAUGUGCUUCAGCUCCGAGAGCUGGCAAUGACCUUGUCAUGGAUCAAUCAGGAUGUGUUUCCUCGGAGCUCAGCCAUAAUGUUUCCAUAGCAACCAAGUCCGUAAUUAAGUGUAGGGAUUAAUGGGAUUCGUGACCCAUGACCCAAAUGAUGACUGCAAAACCAGCACAGGGAACUCUAUCCAGUCUCUUGGGAUAAACCAUGACAGAAGACAGUAUGAGAAAAAGAAUCUAUGUCUGACUGGGUCCCUACGCUGUACAGCAGAAAUGGACACAACACUCUAAAUCAACUAUACUUUAGUUUAAAAAUUAAAUUAAAAAAUAAAGAAACAGACAGACAUGGAGAAGAGACUUGUGGCUGCCAAGGGGGAGGGGGAGGUUGAGGUUCGUAGAUGCAAACUAGGACAUUGAGAAUGAAGAAGCCAUGAGGUCCUGCUGUGCAGCACAGGGAACUCUAUCCAGUCUCUUGGGAUAGACCAGGGGUGGGAGAAAAUAGUAUGAGAAAAAGAAGGUGUGUGUAUAUAUAUGUGUGUGUGUGUGUGUAUACAUACACACACAAUUGGGUCACUAUGCUGUACAGCAGAAAUCAACACAACAUUGUAAAUCAACGAUACAAAAUUUAAAAAUUGACAAUGAGGGUAAAUCAGCUACACUGUAAAAAACAAAAAACCAAGGGCUCUGAAACCCUGAUCCACGCCCUUUGCAUGGCCCCAUGUUGAUGCUCUGUUACCAGGUCAGAGACGGGGAAGAGAAACACAGCUAGACAGGCAGGAAAUCAGAGAUGGGAAAUGCAAGACAAAGAUGCAACCAGGAGACCCAGAGAUACGGGGACAGGAAAAGAGGCAAGUGGGAGAGAAAUACGUCAAAAGAGACACUAUACCUUGCUGGCAGCUGCCAGAACUAUCACAAACUGGGUCACUUACAAACACAGAACUUGAUUUUUAAGAUUCUGGAGUUGACGUCUGAAAUCCAGGCAUCCGCGUGGUUUGUUCUGUCUCAGAAUCAUAGAUGGAAUUCCUUCCUUUCCUCCCAAGAGCUUCUGGCAUUUCUUAGCUGGUAGCUGCCUGACUCCAAUCUCUGCCUCAUGAGCGGUCCUGUGUGUCUCAUUCCAUAUGGCUUUUUCCUCUCUGUGCCUCUUUUCUCUUUUCUUUUUUCUUUUCUUUCUUCUGUCUUUCUUAUUCUUUCUUUCCUUCCUUCCUUUGUUUCUUUCUCUUUCCUUCCUUCCUUCUUUCUUCUUUCCUUCUUAUACAGACAGCAGUCAUACUGGGUUAAAAACCUGCCUUACCCCAGGGGGCCUCCUCUUAAAUUAUGUCCUAAUUACCUCUGCACAAAUCAUUUCCAAAAAAGAUCAUGGUCAUGGAUACUAGUACUGAGAACACCAACUUGGGGAGAGUGCGUAAUUCAACAGACAGCAAAGACAGGGAUUGCUUUUUUUCCCUUCUGUAUUACUUACUUACUGCUUGGCUAUGGGCAGUAGAGUGGGGAGAAUUCCUAGAGCAGGACUGCCAGCUCCCAGAUUCUUUUUGUUUGUUUGUUUCCGUUUUCUUUUUAAAGUUUUACUGAAGCAUCAUUGAUUUACAAUGUUGUGAUUUUUGCUAGACAGCAAAGUGACUCAGUUAUACAUCCAUUCUCUUUCAGAUUCUUUUCUCAUAGAGAUGAUCACAAAACACUGGGUAGAGUGCCCUGUGCUCGACAGCAGGUCCCCAUGGACCAGUCAUUCCAUAGACCUCAGGGUGCAUGUGCCAAUCCCACAACCCCAGUCCAUCCCUCCUCACCUGUCCCUUUUGGUCACCAUAAGUUUUUCUUUUUUUUUCCUCAAAGCCUGUGAGUCUGUUUCUGUUCUGAAAAUAAAUACAUUUGUAUCCUCUUUCAGAUUCCACACAAGUGAUAUCAUAUGGUAUUUGUCUCUGUCUGACUUACUGCACUUAGUAUGAUAAUCUUUAGGUCCAUCCAUGUUGCUGCAAAUGGCAUUAUUUCAUUCUUUUUCAUGGCUGAGUAGUAUUCCAUUGUAUACACGUACCACGCCUUCUUUAUCCAUUCAUCUAUCAAUGGACAUUGAGGUAGUGUCCAUGUCUGGACUAUUGUGAACAAUGCUGCUAUGAACACAUGGGUGCAUGCAUCAUUUUGAAUUAUAGGUUUCUCCAGAUGUAUGCCCAGGAGUGGGAUUGCUGAAUCAGAUGGUAGUUCUACUUUAACUUUUUCUAGGAACCUCCAUACUGUUCUCCAUAGCAGUUAUACCAAUUUACCUUCUUGCCAGUAGCAGAGGAGGGUUCCCUUUUCUCCACAAUGUAUCCAGCAUUUGUUAUUUGCAGACUUUUUGCCAUUUCACAAGUUUUAUUGAAGUACAGUUGAUUUACAACGUUGUAAUCAUUUUUGCUAUACCACAAAGUGAUUCCAUGACACAUACACACAUACCCACACUCUUUCAGAUUCUUUUCCCACAUAGACCAUCACAGAAUAUUGAGUAGAGAUCCCUGUGCUAGAAGCAGGACCCCAUUUCCCAGUCAUUCCAUAUACAACACUGUGCAAAUGCCAAUCCCAAAUACAAGAUUUUUUUUUUUUUAAUUUUAAGGCUUGGGCUACCCCAAACAUGAAUUCUUUGUUUCCUACUGUACAGCAUGGUGAGCCAGUUACACAUACCUGUAUACAUUCUUUUUUCUCACAUUAUCAUGCUCCAUCAUAAGGGGGAGGGAGUGGGGUGGACUGGGAGCUUGGGGUUCAUAGAUGCAAACCCUUGCUUUUGGAGUGGAUGAGCAAUGAGAUCCAGCUGUGUAGCACUGGGAACUAUGUCUAGUCACUUACAAUAGAACAAGGGUUUUUAAAAGUUGUAGAGAAGGCAAGAGAGACAUGAAGACCUGAGAUGUUUGCACAGAGUAACGACGUAGAAAGCUGCACCCACGUUGGAAAGUUUGCAGGACAGCUAUGCAAUCAAUUACAAUGAAAGCCAAACAAAAACAAAAGAUGCUUCUCUCUACCUUGAGGGUAAAAAGAUCCUCACGAAAUGCUCUUUUCACAUAUUCUACUACAGCCCUGAAAAUAGCACUGGUUUCUCUUCAUCAUGCCUCUUCCCCCCUCUCUCUCUCUCACAGUUUAUGUCAGGCUCAAUGAAGGACCACUUUCCUACACAAGACAUGGUCCUGAAUCUGCUAUUUACUCCACCCUCAUCUACGCUACCCUCUGGUUUUGCACACUUGUCACUGGAUGGAUAGAAACAUUCCUGCUAGCCUUUCAACAGCUCGUCCAGAUAGCUCACGAAUAAUACAGACACUGGUCAAGCAGGUCCCCUGAUGAUGUUCAAGAAGGCAGGCGUUUUAAUUUUACCUCCUCAGCAAUGUUUGGGAAAUUUAGACUUCGCCCCGUAUAAGAAACAGAGUAAAUGGGGGAACCAAUUAGAGCUGUGGGCACAUUGGCUAACUUCAAGGAUGUAAGAAAUGAGUAAAGUGGGGGAAGUUCCUGUUGUGGCUC